CAGCGCCACGGGAAUACGGAGGGUGCAAGCGUUAAUCGGAAUUACUGGGCGUAAAGCGCACGCAGGCGGUCUGACAAGUCAGAUGUGAAAUCCCCGGGCUUAACCUGGGAACUGCAUUUGAAACUGUCAGGCUGGAGUCUUGUAGAGGGGGGUGGAAUUCCAGGUGUAGCGGUGAAAUGCGUAGAGAUCUGGAGGAAUACCGGUGGCGAAGGCGGCCCCCUGGACAAAGACUGACGCUCAGGUGCGAAAGCGUGGGGAGCAAACAGGAUUAGAUACCCGCGUAGUCCCUGUCUCUUAUACC
rnacentral:rRNA from 1 species